rnacentral:misc_RNA from 1 species
GUGGGAGCAAAGCUUGCUCGCGAUUGACGUAAGUCUGCCAGCAACAGUUUUGGCUGGUCUGCCGCUAUCGCGAGCAAGCUUUGCUCCCAC